rnacentral:rRNA from 1 species
UACGGAGGGGGCUAGCGUUGUUCGGAAUUACUGGGCGUAAAGCGCACGUAGGCGGCUUUGUAAGUUAGAGGUGAAAGCCCGGGGCUCAACCCCGGAACUGCCUUUAAGACUGCAUCGCUUGAAUCCAGGAGAGGUGAGUGGAAUUCCGAGUGUAGAGGUGAAAUUCGUAGAUAUUCGGAAGAACACCAGUGGCGAAGGCGGCUCACUGGCCUGGUAUUGACGCUGAGGUGCGAAAGCGUGGGGAGCAAGCAGG